rnacentral:rRNA from 1 species
GAUCCUGGCUCAGAAUCAACGCUGGCGGCGUGCCUAACACAUGCAAGUCGAACGAGAAAGCGGGGGCAACUCCGUGAGUACAGUGGCGAACGGGUGAGUAACACGUGACUAACCUGCCUUCGAGUGGGGGAUAACUCCGGGAAACCGGGGCUAAUACCGCAUAACAUCCCGAGGUGAAAUUCCUUGUGAUCAAAGGGGUAAGACGCUUGAAGAGGGGGUCGCGGCCGAUUAGCUAGUUGGUGGGGUAACGGCCCACCAAGGCAGUGAUCGGUAGCCGGCCUGAGAGGGCGCACGGCCACACUGGAACUGAAACACGGUCCAGACUCCUACGGGAGGCA